rnacentral:rRNA from 1 species
UACGUAGGGUGCGAGCGUUAAUCGGAAUUACUGGGCGUAAAGCGUGCGCAGGCGGUUUGCUAAGACAGGUGUGAAAUCCCCGGGCUUAACCUGGGAACUGCGCUUGUAACUGGCAAGCUAGAGUGUGGCAGAGGGGGGUGGAAUUCCACGUGUAGCAGUGAAAUGCGUAGAGAUGUGGAGGAACACCGAUGGCGAAGGCAGCCCCCUGGGCUAACACUGACGCUCAUGCACGAAAGCGUGGGGAGCAAACAGG